GUUGGUUGCGAUAAAGAUCGCAAAUAGGGAAUCAGGUGACCUGCCAGUGGUAGGCGGGAAAUCCUGGACUGUGCCCGCAGCUGUAAGUCCAAAGAUUGAUUGCUACUCACGCCACUGUCCGUCGGCUGACGGAUGGGAAGGCAGUAAUCAGGGAUAAGUCAGAAGACCUGCCAACAAAUUUU
rnacentral:ncRNA from 1 species